CAGCCGCCGCGGGAAUACGAAGGGUGCAAGCGUUACUCGGAAUUACUGGGCGUAAAGCGUGCGUAGGUGGUGGUUUAAGUCCGUUGUGAAAGCCCUGGGCUCAACCUGGGAAUUGCAGUGGAUACUGGGUCACUAGAGUGUGGUAGAGGAUAGUGGAAUUUCCGGUGUAGCAGUGAAAUGCGUAGAGAUCGGAAGGAACAUCUGUGGCGAAGGCGACUAUCUGGGCCAACACUGACACUGAGGCACGAAAGCGUGGGGAGCAAACAGGAUUAGAUACCCCUGUAGUCCCUGUCUCUUAUAA
rnacentral:rRNA from 1 species